rnacentral:rRNA from 1 species
GGUAAUACCGAAUACGAUAGCUGGACUGUGGUCUGGUUAUGAAAAGCGCCUUGGCGCCGUCUUAAGAAUGAGGCCCGCGUCCCAUUAGCUAGUUGGGGGUGUAAAGGACCACCAAGGCGAAGAUGGGUAGCCGGCCUGAGAGGGGUGAACGGCCACAUUGGGACUGAGAUACGGCCCAAACUCCUACGGGAGGCAGCAGCUAAGAAUAUUCCACAAUGGACGAAAGUCUGAUGGAGCGACGCCGCGUGGAUGAGGAAGGCCGAAAGGUUGUAAAAUCCUUUUGCCGAUGAAGAAUAAGUGCGGUAGGGAAUGACCGCAUGAUGACGUUAGUCGGUGAAUAAGCCCCGGCUAAUUACGUGCCAGCAGCCGCGGUAACACGUAAGGGGCAAGCGUUGUUCGGAAUUAUUGGGCGUAAAGGGCGCGUAGGCGGUCAAUUAAGUCUGAUGUGAAAACUCUAGGCUCAACCUGGAGCGUGCAUUGGAAACUGGCGCUGACUUGAGUCAUAGAGGGGAAAUCGGAAUUCCUGGUGUAGGGGUGAAAUCUGUAGAUAU